rnacentral:rRNA from 1 species
CUAAUACCGCAUAAGCGCACAGGACCGCAUGGUCCGGUGUGAAAAACUCCGGUGGUAUAGGAUGGACCCGCGUUGGAUUAGCCAGUUGGCAGGGUAACGGCCUACCAAAGCGACGAUCCAUAGCCGGCCUGAGAGGGUGAACGGCCACAUUGGGACUGAGACACGGCCCAGACUCCUACGGGAGGCAGCAGUGGGGAAUAUUGCACAAUGGGGGAAACCCUGAUGCAGCGACGCCGCGUGAAGGAAGAAGUAUCUCGGUAUGUAAACUUCUAUCAGCAGGGAAGAUAGUGACGGUACCUGACUAAGAAGCCCCGGCUAACUACGUGCCAGCAGCCGCGGUAAUACGUAGGGGGCAAGCGUUAUCCGGAUUUACUGGGUGUAAAGGGAGCGUAGACGGAUUAGCAAGUCUGAUGUGAAAGGCAGGGGCUCAACCCCUGGACUGCAUUGGAAACUGCCAGUCUUGAGUGCCGGAGAGGUAAGCGGAAUUCAUAGUGUAGCGGUGAAAUGCGUAGAUAUUAGGAGG